GUGAUCUUAACUAAGGGUAACUUGGUAAAAUAUAGUUGGGAGGGUAGUAAAUGAUGUUGUUUCUGUGAUCAAGACGAAACGGUCCAACACCUUUUUCUCAAAUGCCCCAUAGCCAAGCUACUGUGGCACACAGUGCAUGUGGCCUUUAAUGUCAAUCCUCCUAAUACUUCAAAUCAAAGAAGCCCUGAAACUGGAGGGGGUAAUUUUGCUCAUCUUGAACCCAUAAAUAGUCAAAGUUCAAACCUCCAGUCUCUACAUCAUAGUACAUAUGGUGCAGACGACUAUUUUUCUCAGGGAAGCACUCUUAUAAUACCCUAUACUGCUUGGCAUUGUGUAAUAAAAUAUGUAUGCCCCGUCGCAGCGCACGGGCAUUUGUGCUAG
rnacentral:rRNA from 1 species